GACGAACGCUGGCGGCGUGCUUAACACAUGCAAGUCGAACGAAGUGGCGAACGGGUGAGUAACACGUGGGUGACCUGCCCUGCACUUCGGGAUAAGCCUGGGAAACUGGGUCUAAUACCGGAUAGUGUGGGAUGGGCCCGCGGCCGAGCAGCUUGUUGGUGGGGUAAUGGACGACCAAGGCGGCGACGGGUGGCCGGCCUGAGAGGGUGGACGGCCACAGUGGGAAUGAGACACGGGCCAGACUCGUACGGGAGGCAGCAGUGGGGAAUAUUGAACAAUGGGCGGAAGCCUGAUGCAGCGACGCCGCGUGGGGGAUGACGGCCAUCGGGUUGUAAACUCCUUUCACCAUCGACGCGGUAGAUGGAGAAGAAGCACCGGCUAACUACGUGCCAGCAGCCGCGGUAAUUC
rnacentral:rRNA from 1 species